UUAAAAAAAAUUGGAAAAAACCCCGAAAUGCAACCAAAACCAAAUGAUCGAAAAAAACAAGAAAAGAUAAUAAUAAUGACCCGAAUCCGAGACACAAAAUGCUGAAAAACCCUUUCUCAAUCCACGUAGACAGCAGAAGCUUCCAAAAUCCACGUACACAACCCGUUGUUCUUAUCCAAACUACCCAUUAAAAGAUGAACACGUGUCCCAUGAGGGCCGGAGUGGGCCCCUUAUUUCUGCUUUUAUCUUUGGAAACCCCGUUGCGACUUGCUAUAUCAUCAAUCUUAUUCAAUAGCCCUCUGUUUCCCAAUCCCAUUUGUAGUACGCCCUUACCCAAAUCCAAUAGGCCCCUGGUUUCUUUACUACGCCGCUAUAUAUAAACUAUAAAGCACAAAUAACCAGCCAUACCUAGAACCAUAACCAUAAUCCUUUCUCACAACCAAAUCGAAAAUAUUCUUCUUUAUUUCUCACCAUUCAUCAGAAUCAUCACGUAAAUCUCUUUGUUUACUUUUUGAUUUCAAAAGAAUUUUAAAAUAUUGAUGAGCUUGAGGUACGCAAGCAGAGUUUUGUAUCAGGCAGGGAAUCGGGUGGUGCAGGGAAUGAAGGACCAGAUCUCAAGAUGUGAUUCAACGGUUAAGAUCUCUUUGAGAGAUUCUUCUUCAAAGCAGAGUAGGGUGUUCUCUGGAGGAGCAGCUGAUUCCACUUCUGCUUUCAAGGCUGCCAAAAACGACACACAUAAUUAUAAGCAGGCGGAGGAGUCUCUUCGGACCGUCAUGUAUUUGAGUUGCUGGGGUCCUAAUUGAAAGUUUUAUACCUAAUCAUGUUUGUAAAUACUUGGUGUACAUAUGUAUAAACCUUAACCCUCGAUCCUUGAUCGUCUCAACAUAUAAAUAUUAAUCAAGAUCUUUUCGCUCCA